GUUUGAUCCUGGCUCAGGAUGAACGCUAGCUACAGGCUUAACACAUGCAAGUCGAGGGGAAACGAUAUUGAAAGCUUGCUUUCGAUAGGCGUCGACCGGCGCACGGGUGAGUAACGCGUAUCCAACCUGCCCAUAACUAAGGGAUAAUCCGUAGAAAUGCGGUCUAAUACCUUAUGUGAUCCGAGGAAGACAUCUGAUUUGGAUUAAAGAUUUAUCGGUUAUGGAUGGGGAUGCGUCUGAUUAGAUUGUUGGCGGGGCAACGGCCCACCAAGUCUGCGAUCAGUAGGGGUUCUGAGAGGAAGGUCCCCCACAUUGGAACUGAGACACGGUCCAAACUCCUACGGGAGGCAGCAGUGAGGAAUAUUGGUCAAUGGGCG
rnacentral:rRNA from 1 species